rnacentral:rRNA from 1 species
CAAUAGCGUAUAUUAAAGUUGUUGCGGUUAAAAAGCUCGUAGUUGGAUUUCUGCCGAGGACGACCGGUCCGCCCUCUGGGUGAGUAUCUGGCUCGGCCUGGGCAUCUUCUUGGAGAACGUAGCUGCACUUGACUGUGUGGUGCGGUAUCCAGGACUUUUACUUUGAGGAAAUUAGAGUGUUUCAAGCAGGCUUACGCCUUGAAUACAUUAGCAUGGAAUAAUAAGAUAGGACCUCGGUUCUAUUUUGUUGGUUUCUAGAGCUGAGGUAAUGAUUAAUAGGGAUAGUUGGGGGCAUUCGUAUUUAACUGUCAGAGGUGAAAUUCUCGGAUUUGUUAAAGACGGACUACUGCGAAAGCAUCUGCCAUGGAUGUUUUCAUUG